CAUGAGCCACCGCGCCUGUGUUAGCUAGGAUGGUCUUGAACUUCUGACCUCAUGUGAUCUGCCUGCCUCAGCCUCCCAAAGUGUUGGGAUUACAGGCGUGAACCAUUGCGCCCAGCCAGGUUUUAUUUUUUUAACUGUUCUUUGCUGACCAGGGUCACAGAGUUGGCCUUACCUAGGAUUGUGGGUGGUUAGGAGGUUUCACGGGCCUAAGUCCCUGAAUUGGGAGUUAAACUGGGCAGGGUCGCUGUUGGACCAUGGGGGAAACAGCAUUUACAGCCUAAAAAGACACAUGCACAUGUAUGUUCAAUGCAACACUAUUCACAAUAGCAAAGACAUGGAAUCAACCUAAAUGUCCAUCAAUGGUAGAGUGGAUAAAGAAAAUGCGGUACAUAUAUACCAAGGAAUACUAUGCAGCCAUAGAAAAGAACAAGAUCAUGUCCUUUGCAGGAACACAGACGGACCUGGAGGCCAUUAUCCUUAACAAACUAACACAGGAACAGAAAACCAAAUACCACAUGUUCUCACUUACAAGUGGGAGCUAAAUGAUAAGAACACAUGGACACAUAAAGAGGAACAACAGAUACUGAGGCCUAUUGGAGAAUAGAGGUUGCGAGGAGGGAGACGAUCAGAAAAAAUAACUAAAGGGUACCACACUUACCACCUGGGUGACAAAAUAAUCUGUACAGCAAACCCCCAUGUCACAACUUUAUCUAUAUAACAAACUUACACACAUAUCCCUGAACUUAGAAGUUAAAUACCCCUCCCAAUACUAUAUACCUAAACAAAUUAAUUUAGACUACAAUCUAUAAAUCUUACAGACAACAGGAAAGAUAGUAAGAAAAAACGUAUUUGCUCAAGAGCAAAACAAACUUUUAUUUUAAAAAUAAAAGUUUACUUUGUAUCAUAUGAUUUCUUUUCAAAUAAGCACACGGUCUUACAAAUAUAUAAUAUUCAAAAUGUUUUGGGGUCUGUUUUUUUUUUUUUGAGAAAGAGUCUUGCUCUGUCACUCAGGCUGGAGUGCAACGGCGCAAUCUAGGCUCACUGCAACCUUCGCCUCCUGGGAUCAAGCGAUUCUCCUGCCUCAGCCUCUCGAGUAGCUGGAACUACAGGCACACACCACCACGCCUGGCUAAUUUUUGGAGCUUUUUAGUAGAGACAGGGUUUCACCAUGUUGGCCAAGCUGGUCUCGAACUCCUAACCUCAGGUGAUCAGCCCAUCUCAGCCUCCCAAAGUGCUGGGAUUACAGGCAUGAGCUACCAUGCCUGGCCUGUGGUCCGAUUUUUAAAUAUUUUCCUUCUUUUUUCUCAGUGUUAGGAAUACUAAAAUAUGGGCCUGGUGCAGUGGCUCACGCCUGUAAUUCCAGCACUUUGGGAGGCCAAGGCGGGCGGAUUGCCUGAGGUCAGGAGAUCGAGAC
rnacentral:lncRNA from 10 species